UUACGACUACAUAUCAGGCAUAUCAAUAAGCGGAGGAAAAGAAACUAACUAGGAUUCCCUUAGUAACGGCGAGUGAAGCGGGAAGAGCUCAAAUUUGAAAUCUUCAAGGUUCUACCUUGACGAAUUGUAGUUUAAAGAAGUGUUUUCUGUUGGAGUUUUGGUAAAAGUUCUUUGGAAUAGGACAUCAUAGAGGGUGAGAAUCCCGUAUUUGACCAUUAUUUUCAGCUGUGUGAUACACUUUCAAAGAGUCGGAUUGUUUGGGAAUGCAGUCCAAAAUGGGUGGUAAAUUUCAUCUAAAGCUAAAUAUUGGCGAGAGACCGAUAGCGAACAAGUACCGUGAGGGAAAGAUGAAAAGAACUUUGAAAAGAGAGUUAAACAGUACGUGAAAUUGUCAAAAGGGAAGCGUUUGACACCAGUGUUGUUUUCUCGAAAAUCAAUUAAAAAAGGCUAGGAUUUUGUGUUGUAUUGACCUUUAAUCAGCUUGCUUCACUCUUUUCAUUGUCUUUUUUUAAUGCACUUUUCGUUUAACAAGUCAACAUCAGUUUCUUUUGUUGUAAAAGGGUCAUUGGAAGGUGGCUUUCUUUCGGAGAAAGUGUUUAUAGCCUUUGGCCUCUGCAAUCGGAGAGAUUGAGGUCUGCAGCGUAGAUCCUUCGGGGUUAGAUACAUUUGUGCUAAGCUACAGCUUUUCAUAGACAACUUGUUGACUAUGUUUAGUCUUGUAACUUACCCGCUUAUGCUAUUUUACCUACGCUUAGGAUGUUGAGCGCAUGUCUCUCUCU
rnacentral:rRNA from 1 species